rnacentral:rRNA from 1 species
GACGUAGGGCGCGAGCGUUGUCCGGAUUUAUUGGGCGUAAAGAGCUCGUAGGCGGCUUGUCGCGUCGUCUGUGAAAUCCCACGGCUCAACUGUGGGCUUGCAGUCGAUACGGGCAGGCUGGAGUUCGGUAGGGGAGACUGGAAUUCCUGGUGUAGCGGUGAAAUGCGCAGAUAUCAGGAAGAACACCAAUGGCGAAGGCAGCUCUCUGGGACGGUACUGACGCUGAGACGCGAAAGCGUGGGGAGCGAACAGG